AUUGAACGCUGGCGGCAGGCCUAACACAUGCAAGUCGAGCGGAUGAAGGGAGCUUGCUCCUGGAUUCAGCGGCGGACGGGUGAGUAAUGCCUAGGAAUCUGCCUGGUAGUGGGGGAUAACGUCCGGAAACGGGCGCUAAUACCGCAUACGUCCUGAGGGAGAAAGUGGGGGAUCUUCGGACCUCACGCUAUCAGAUGAGCCUAGGUCGGAUUAGCUAGUUGGUGGGGUAAAGGCCUACCAAGGCGACGAUCCGUAACUGGUCUGAGAGGAUGAUCAGUCGCACUGGAACUGAGACACGGUCCAGACUCCUACGGGAGGCAGCAGUGGGGAAUAUUGGACAAUGGGCGAAAGCCUGAUCCAGCCAUGCCGCGUGUGUGAAGAAGGUCUUCGGAUUGUAAAGCACUUUAAGUUGGGAGGAAGGGCAGUAAGUUAAUACCUUGCUGUUUUGACGUUACCAACAGGAUAAGCACCGGCUAACUUCGUG
rnacentral:rRNA from 1 species